rnacentral:rRNA from 1 species
CCUACGGGAGGCUGCAGUGGGGAAUUUUGGACAAUGGGCGCAAGCCUGAUCCAGCCAUUCCGCGUGCAGGAUGAAGGCCCUCGGGUUGUAAACUGCUUUUGUACGGAACGAAACGGUGCUCUCUAAUACAGGGCGCUAAUGACGGUACCGUAAGAAUAAGCACCGGCUAACUACGUGCCAGCAGCCGCGGUAAUACGUAGGGUGCAAGCGUUAAUCGGAAUUACUGGGCGUAAAGCGUGCGCAGGCGGUUUUGUAAGACAGGUGUGAAAUCCCCGGGCUUAACCUGGGAACUGCACUUGUGACUGCAAAGCUGGAGUGCGGCAGAGGGGGAUGGAAUUCCGCGUGUAGCAGUGAAAUGCGUAGAUAUGCGGAGGAACACCGAUGGCGAAGGCAAUCCCCUGGGCCUGCACUGACGCUCAUGCACGAAAGCGUGGGGAGCAAACAGGAUUAGAUACCCUGGUAGUCCAC